GACGAACGCUGGCGGCGUGCCUAAUACAUGCAAGUAGAACGCACAGUUUAUACCGUAGCUUGCUACACCAUAAACUGUGAGUUGCGAACGGGUGAGUAACGCGUAGGUAACCUGCCUGGUAGCGGGGGAUAACUAUUGGAAACGAUAGCUAAUACCGCAUAAUAUUAAUUAUUGCAUGAUAAUUGAUUGAAAGAUGCAAUUGCAUCACUACCAGAUGGACCUGCGUUGUAUUAGCUAGUAGGUGAGGUAACGGCUCACCUAGGCGACGAUACAUAGCCGACCUGAGAGGGUGAUCGGCCAACCUGGGACUGAGACACGGCCCAGACUCCUACGGGAGGCAGCAGUAGGGAAUCUUCGGCAAUGGACGAAAGUCUGACCGAGCAACGCCGCGUGAGUGAAGAAGGUUUUCGGAUCGUAAAGCUCUGUUGUAAGAGAAGAACGGGUGUGAGAGUGGAAAGUUCACACUGUGACGGUAUCUUACCAGAAAGGGACGGCUAACUACGUG
rnacentral:rRNA from 1 species